AGUCCGACACGGAAGGCCUCCUGAUACAGGCAGAAACGGCCAGGUGGGGGGUGCUAGUCCGGUCGGCGGGACCAGAAAGCUCCAGAUCGUACUCCGGAGGAACUCCAUACUGAACCCUUAUCAGUAAAAGUUUAUCCAGAGUCAGAAAACAGGGAAUGGCACCCGGUGCAAAAAUUGGGCGAGGCCCAGCCCUAGAUGUGGGUUCGUCUAUAGU
rnacentral:lncRNA from 1 species